rnacentral:ncRNA from 1 species
GGACGAGCCCUUGGAGAGACUCAUUGAUAGAAUGAGCACCGAAGGAGCAAGAUAGAUUAAACUAUCGAAACUCUCAGGUAAAAGGACAGGGGAGAGGAG